AAGUCGUAACAAGGUCUCCGUAGGUGAACCUGCGGAGGGAUCAUUACAGAGUUCGUGCCCUCGCGGGUAGAUCUCCCACCCUGUGUUAUUGUUACCUGUGUUGCUUUGGCGGGCCGCUAGGCUCCGGCCCGGCUACCGGCCCACGCUGGUACGCGCCCGCCAGAGGACCCCAAACUCUGAAUGUUAGUGUCGUCUGAGUACUAUACAAUAGUUAAAACUUUCAACAACGGAUCUCUUGGUUCUG
rnacentral:misc_RNA from 1 species